UGAAGCUUCUCUUCCUUUCCUCUUGGAAUGCCCCUUUUUGGAAUCCAGCUGCCAUCCCAGGAGAGGCAAUGGAAGAGCAUGGAUGUGUUCUGGUGGACAGUCCCAGCCAUGAUCCCAGCUGUCAUCCAGCACCAGUUGCCAGCCGUGUGACUAAGUCAUUUGGAUGUCCUAGCCCAGUCGAGCCUCCAGGUAUCACUUCAACAUGAGCAGACACGCCAAGUGGAUGGAAACACGGUGGUUGGCCCUUUGAAGUGAGAUGGCAAACCUGGGAAAACACUCUGCCUGAGCUGCUGUGUUCAGAAUAACCCAAGAUUGACCUAGAGGGAGACAGACCACAUGGAGAGGGAGACCCUGCUGUCCCAGCUCUUCCUACCUUCCCAGAUGAACGUGAGGCCGUUCUCAACCACUCAGCUCCAGCCAGCCAAGAGCAGAAGAAUCAUCCAGCCAGUCCACAGAAUCUGUGAGUUUUUAAGCCACUAAAUUGUGUUUGUUAUGCAGCAAGAGUUGACUUAUACAUGUGUCUAUAUCUAAUUUCAUCAGGAAAAGACCGGUGAUAUUUUUUUAAAGUCUCAAUGACUACUUCAACAUUAAAUCUAAUGGAUGUGCCAUCACUUAUUUAACCAUUUUCUUAUUGUUAGAAUCAC